GAAACGGUAGCUAAUACCGCAUAACGUCGCAAGACCAAAGAGGGGGACCUUAGGGCCUCUUGCCAUCGGAUGUGCCCAGAUGGGAUUAGCUAGUAGGUGGGGUAACGGCUCACCUAGGCGACGAUCCCUAGCUGGUCUGAGAGGAUGACCAGCCACACUGGAACUGAGACACGGUCCAGACUCCUACGGGAGGCAGCAGUGGGGAAUAUUGCACAAUGGGCGCAAGCCUGAUGCAGCCAUGCCGCGUGUAUGAAGAAGGCCUUCGGGUUGUAAAGUACUUUCAGCGGGGAGGAAGGGAGUAAAGUUAAUACCUUUGCUCAUUGACGUUACCCGCAGAAGAAGCACCGGCUAACUCCGUGCCAGCAGCCGCGGUAAUACGGAGGGUGCAAGCGUUAAUCGGAAUUACUGGGCGUAAAGCGCACGCAGGCGGUUUGUUAAGUCAGAUGUGAAAUCCCCGGGCUCAACCUGGGAACUGCAUCUGAUACUGGCAAGCUUGAGUCUCGUAGAGGGGGGUAGAAUUCCAGGUGUAGCGGUGAAAUGCGUAGAGAUCUGGAGGAAUACCGGUGGCGAAGGCGGCCCCCUGGACGAAGACUGACGCUCAGGUGCGAAAGCGUGGGGAGCAAACAGGAUUAGAUACCCUGGUAGUCCACGCCGUAAACGAUGUCGACUUGGAGGUUGUGCCCUUGAGGCGUGGCUUCCGGAGCUAACGCGUUAAGUCGACCGCCUGGGGAGUACGGCCGCAAGGUUAAAACUCAAAUGAAUUGACGGGGGCCCGCACAAGCGGUGGAGCAUGUGGUUUAAUUCGAUGCAACGCGAAGAACCUUACCUGGUCUUGACAUCCACGGAAGUUUUCAGAGAUGAGAAUGUGCCUUCGGGAACCGUGAGACAGGUGCUGCAUGGCUGUCGUCAGCUCGUGUUGUGAAAUGUUGGGUUAAGUCCCGCAACGAGCGCAACCCUUAUCCUUUGUUGCCAGCGGUCCGGCCGGGAACUCAAAGGAGACUGCCAGUGAUAAACUGGAGGAAGGUGGGGAUGACGUCAAGUCAUCAUGGCCC
rnacentral:rRNA from 1 species